rnacentral:misc_RNA from 1 species
UUGUUGUUAGUGUGUUUGGUGAUGACUCUGCGCUCACACGGACCUCGACCCCCGCGCUCGGUGGGGGGGGAGCUAAGGAAAACCCCUCGCAACCAAAAACAGGAGGUGGUCUUUGUGUUGCUCGUGGAAUAUACACCACUUCUCGAGGGAUAUAUGGGGGGAGUGAACUGUGGUAUCCACCCUUAACGCCGGGCGCUCGGGCUCUGGUCUGCCGAUUAGCCGGGAAACUUCACCCCCGGUCGGGGUGUUGUGUCGUCGUGUUUUGCUGCUGUUGGGGGCGGGUGGCGGCCGUCCUCGUCCUUUGUUUCCUUCUUUUUUUUUUGCUGCCUGGGCGGGGUGCGGGUCGUCCUGUAAGGUCGUGUCCGGUCCUGUCUGUUUUUUUUUUUUUUUGUUUGUUUUUUUUCCCCCCUCCCCACUGCAGCUGACGAGCAAGACCGCGUGGGGAAGAAGGUUUGUGGAUUGUAAACCCCUUUUAUCAGGGAAGAAGAACUGACGGUACCUGAUGAAUCAGCCUCGGCUAACUCCGUGCCAGCAGCCGCGGUAAUACGGAGGAGGCAAGCGUUAUCCGGAAUUAUUGGGCGUAAAGCGUCCGUAGGUGGCUGUACGUGUCAGUUGUUAAAGAAUGGGGCUUAACUCCAUAUAGGCGAUUGAAACUGUAUAGCUAGAGAGUGGUAGGGGCAAGGGGAAUUCCCAGUGUAGCGGUGAAAUGCGUAGAUAUUGGGAAGAACACCGGUGGCGAAAGCGCCUUGCUGGGCCAUUACUGACACUGAGGGACGAAAGCUAGGGGAGCGAAAGGGAUUAGAUACCCCUGUAGUCCUAGCCGUAAACGAUGGAUACUAGGUGUUGCCCGUAUCGACCCGGGCAGUGCCGUAGCUAACGCGUUAAGUAUCCCGCCUGGGGAGUACGCUCGCAAGAGUGAAACUCAAAGGAAUUGACGGGGGCCCGCACAAGCCGGUCGGAGUAUUGUGGUAUUAAUUCGAUCUGCAACGUUGAGGAACCUUAGCCAAGAGCUUGACAUGUGCAGAAUCUUCGGGAGACUGAUGGAGUGCCUUCGGGAACUGCAACACAGUGUGGUGCAUGGCAUGUCGUCAGCUCGUGUCGUGAGAUGUUGGGUUAAGUCCCGCAACGAGCGCUAACCCACGUUCUUAGUUGCCAUCAUUAAGUUGGGCACUUUAGGUAGACUGCCGGUGACAAACCGGAGGAAGGUGUGGAUGACGUCAAGUCAGCAUGCCCCUUACGUCUUGGGCUACACACGUAGUACAAUGCUUCGGACAAAGGGUUGCCAGACCGCGAGGUUGAUCUAAUCCCAUAAACCGAGAAGGUCAGUUCAGAUUGCAGGCUGCAACUCGCCUGCAUGAAGGAGGAAUCGCUAGUAAUCGCAGGGUCAGCAUACUGCGGUGAAUACGUUCCCGGGCCUUGUACACACCGCCCGUCACACCAUGGGAGUUGGCCUCGCCCGAAUUCUUUACUCCAACCGUUCGCGGAGGAGGAUGCCGAAGGCAGGUCUUAUGACUUGCGGGUGAAGUCGUAACAAGGUAGCCGUACCGGAAGGUGUGGGUGCAUCCCCUCCUUUUAGGGAGACCUACCCACUCCUUCACUGAAAGCGAAAGCGAGUAGGUUAAGAGUUGGUCAUCCCAAGGUCGUUCGAGGAAUGAUGAUAUCGAGGCUUUCAAAAUAACUUCCAGGUUCUCCUAAUGAAUUAGGAUAACGAGCGAGGACAGAGAGUCCAGCAUUCUGUUUUGGUUUAGACAGAAGGAUAUGCUGAACUAAUUGUUCAGCGAGAGGACCUUGACAACUGCAUAGUGAGAGAAGGAAAGGUAAAAACCGAGUGUUGUAGUAAGGCACUUGGCUGGGUAUCAAUGCAGAUAGACCU